CUACGGGUUGCACCAGUAGGGAAUAUUGGACAAUGGGCGAAAGCCUGAUCCAGCAACACCGCGUGCACGAUGACGGCCUUCGGGUUGUAAAGUGCUUUUAGAGGAGAUGAGAAAGGACAGUAUCCUCUGAAUAAGCCUCGGCGAACUACGUGCCAGCAGCCGCGGUAAAACGUAGGAGGCAAGCGUUAUCCGGAUUUAUUGGGCGUAAAGCGCGUGCAGGCGGUCGAGCAAGUUGGAUGUGAAAGCUCCCGGCUCAACUGGGAGAGGUCGUUCAAUACUGUUAGACUAGAGAAUAGGAGAGGGAGGUGGAAUUCCGGGUGUAGUGGUGAAAUGCGUAGAUAUCCGGAGGAACACCAGUGGCGAAAGCGGCCUCCUGGACUAUUUCUGACGCUAAGACGCGAAAGCUAGGGUAGCAAACGGGAUUAGAUACCCCCGUAGUC
rnacentral:rRNA from 1 species